UUGCCCUGGAUGCCGGCACCCUUUGACGAGAUGGUGAGCAGCGUGGUGACACCCAAGGUGACACGGGCGGGGAUGGCGUCUACGUCGAGCCAGAAAGACACCCACGAUAUCACCACGAUAAGCGUGGUCGGAAGCGAGCUGUGCUUCAUCGAGCUGUUGCCAGAAGAGAGAGAAAAGAAAUGGCCUCAUUCCCUGGUCGACUUAGAUAUGUGUUCUCCUCCGCUCAAUGGCGAUUUCUGCGUCGCUUUCACUGCGGUGAGCCCGGUGAAGCAGCUGAUAGGAAACGAAGAUUGAUGGUGGGACCAAUUCGGCCGUCAGUGCUUAACAGUGCCUGGAAUGCCACUAGUGGAAUCUAGUGGAAUAUACAUGUGGUGAAGAAGAAACGACCAAACACGUCCAAUGUAACUGCCCAAAACACGAAGACGAGACGAGAUGCUGGACCAGGACGAAUUCUUUCUUAACUGCGAAGUUUCCUUUCUGAGUAAUUCGUACGGGACUCCUAUAAAACAUUGUACUACA